UGUGGUUAAUUCGAUGCAACGCGAAGAACCUACCUGGUCUUGACAUCCCGGAGACCCUUAGGAAACUAGGGGGUGCUUCCAUCUGGAAGAAUCUGGAGACAGGUGCUGCAUGGCUGUCGUCAGCUCGUGUCGUGAGAUGUUGGGUUAAGUCCCGCAACGAGCGCAACCCUUGCCUUAGUUGCCAGCAGUUCGGCUGGGCACUCUAAAGGGACUGCCGGUGUUAAACCGGAGGAAGGUGGGGAUGACGUCAAGUCCUCAUGGCCUUUAUGACCAGGGCUACACACGUACUACAAUGGCCGAUACAAAGGGCAGCGACACUGCGAGGUGAAGCCAAUCCCGUAAAAUCGGUCUCAGUCCGGAUUGGAGUCUGCAACUCGACUCCAUGAAGUUGGAAUCGCUAGUAAUCGUGGAUCAGCAUGCCACGGUGAAUACGUUCCCGGGCCUU
rnacentral:rRNA from 1 species